UAUAACUGAGAUUCUAUUGUAAAGAGAAAUUCUUGCCUAAUGUUUAGAAUUUUUUGCUAUAAUUCAUGGUGGAAUGAUGGUAAGGAUACACUGAAGCAGUAGAAGAAAGGUUGUGAGUAUUUUGAACGGCAACGAAUAGUGGUUCCCUAACCUGGUCUGGAGAAGCGGUCUGACGAGGGCGAGAAGUGGACGCCGGGGCAAAGAUAAGAUGCCUGGACAAGGAGCGGCUCCCGGCAGGCUUUUAGGAUGGCAGACUCUAAGUUACGGAGGUACAUGAAUGAAUCGAAUUAUACAUCGAAAUGGGGUGGGAAUGGCUUAUAACAUAUAUGUAAAGAGUUGAAACUCAUCACAUGAGGUGUUUUUUGGUUGUUUGGUCGUGGAGUUAUAGGAACUUCAAAGUUAAAUGUGCUUGGUUCAGAAAAAUUUCAGGAUGGGAGACCUUCUGAGAAGUUCUCGAACCUGCCACAGGAACAAAACCGUGAGGCUAGUAGGGACCAAAGCAGAUAAUCUCUCAUGUGAUCUGGUUUCAGACUGUUACAAAUGAUAUCAAAGCAGGACCCCUCUAAUAGAUGUGUGGUUCUAGGACGAACUAGGCGGAAGCUGGUAGCCAUGUGACAGCCUAGCCUGGAGAAGCAAUCCGACAAGGGCGGAAAGUGGAUACCGGGGCAAAGAUAAGAUGCCUCGACAAGGAGCGGCUCCUGGCAGACUUCUAGGAUGGCAGCACUAUAAGGUAUGAGAGUACAUGAAUGAAUCGAAUUACACAUCAAAAUGGGGCAGGAAUAAUUGAUAACAUAUAUGUAAAGAGUUGAAACUAAUCACAUAAGGCACUUUCCGUUGUACUACUACAAUAACAUCAUUUUACUCUUUUUU